rnacentral:rRNA from 2 species
CUUCAACGGAGAGUUUGAUCCUGGCUCAGGAUGAACGCUGGCGGCGUGCUUAACACAUGCAAGUCGAACGAUGAUCCGGUGCUUGCAC